GACGAACGCUGGCGGCGUGCCUAAUACAUGCAAGUCGAACGCACAGUUUAUACCGUAGCUUGCUACACCAUAGACUGUGAGUUGCGAACGGGUGAGUAACGCGUAGGUAACCUGCCUGGUAGCGGGGGAUAACUAUUGGAAACGAUAGCUAAUACCGCAUAAUAUUAAUUAUUGCAUGAUAAUUAAUUGAAAGGUGCAAUUGGACCACUACCAGAUGGGCCUGCGUUGUAUUAGCUAGUAGGGGAGGUAACGGCUCACCUAGGCGACGAUACAUAGCCGACCGGGGAGGGUGAUCGGCCACACUGGGACUGAGACACGGCCCAGACUCCUACGGGAGGCAGCAGUAGGGAAUCUUCGGAAAUGGGCGAAAGUCUGACCGAACAACGCCGCGGGAGUGAAGAAGGUUUUCGGAGCGUAAAGCUCUGUUGUAAGAGAGGAACGGGUGUGAGAGUGGAAAGUUCACACUGUGACGGUAGCUUACCAGAAAGGGACGGCUAACUACGUG
rnacentral:rRNA from 1 species